ACGUAGGAGGCGAGCGUUAUCCGGAUUUACUGGGUGUAAAGCGCGUGCAGGUGGUUCGGUAAGUUGGAUGUGAAAGCUCCUGGCUUAACUGGGAGAGGUCGUUCAAUACUACCGGACUUGAGUAUGGGAGAGGGAGGUGGAAUUCCGGGUGUAGUGGUGAAAUGCGUAGAUAUCCGGAGGAACACCAGUGGCGAAAGCGGCCUCCUGGCCCAAAACUGACACUCAUACGCGAAAGCUAGGGGAGCGAACGGGAUUAGAGACCCCGGUAGUCCUAGCUGUAAACGAUGCGGACUUGGCGUCGGAGGGUUAAAAGCCUUCGGUGCCGAAGCUAACGCGAUAAGUCCGCCACCUGGGGACUACGGCCGCAAGGUUA
rnacentral:rRNA from 1 species